CCCAGGAGCCACAAGUGGCAACCACCUUUAUUGGGCCUAAAGCGUCCGUAGCCGGUUUUGUAAAUUUUCUGUGAAAUCGUUGCGCUUAACGUAACGGCGUGCAGAAAAGACUGCAAGACUAGGGACCGGGAGGAGUUGGAGGUAUUCUGGGGGGAGCGGUAAAAUGCUAUAAUCCUCGGAGGACCACCUGUGGCGAAGGCGUCCAACUAGAACGGAUUCGACGGUGAGGGACGAAAGCUAGGGGAGCAAUCCGG
rnacentral:rRNA from 1 species